CAGUAGCCGCGGUAAUACGUAGGUCCCGAGCGUUGUCCGGAUUUAUUGGGCGUAAAGGGAGCGCAGGCGGUUUAGUAAGUCUGAAGUUAAAGGCAUUGGCUCAACCAAUGUAUGCUUUGGAAACUGUUAGACUUGAGUGCAGAAGGGGAGAGUGGAAUUCCACGUGUAGCGGUGAAAUGCGUAGAGAUGUGGAGGAACACCAGUGGCGAAGGCGACUCUCUGGUCUGUAACUUACGCUGAAGAGCGAAAGCGUGGGGAGCGAACAGGAUUAGAUACCCCAGUAGUCCCUGUCUCUUAUACA
rnacentral:rRNA from 1 species